rnacentral:rRNA from 1 species
GGUUAAGCGACUAAGCGUACACGGUGGAUGCCUAGGCAAUCAGAGGCGAUGAAGGACGUGCUAAUCUGCGAUAAGCGUCGGUAAGGUGAUAUGAACCGUGAUAACCGACGAUUUCCGAAUGGGGAAACCCAGUGCAAUCCGUUGCACUAUCGUUUGAUGAAUACAUAGUCAAACGAAGCGAACCGGGGGAACUGAAACAUCUCAGUACCCCGAGGAAAAGAAAUCAACCGAGAUUCCCCUAGUAGCGGCGAGCGAACGGGGAGCAGCCCAGAGUCUUAAUCAACAUUAGCAUCAGGAGAACGGUCUGGAAAGGCCGGCAGUAAAGGGUGAUAGCCCCGUAUCCGAAGGUGUUAGUGUUGUGAACUCGACGAGUAGGGCGGGACACGUGUUAUCCUGUCUGAAUAUGGGGGGACCAUCCUCCAAGGCUAAAUACUCCUGAUUGACCGAUAGUGAACCAGUACCGUGAGGGAAAGGCGAAAAGAACCCCGGCGAGGGGAGUGAAAUAGAACCUGAAACCGUGUACGUACAAGCAGUGGGAGCACCUUUAGGGGUGUGACUGCGUACCUUUUGUAUAAUGGGUCAGCGACUUAUAUUCUGUAGCAAGGUUAACCGUAUAGGGGAGCCGUAGGGAAACCGAGUCUUAACUGGGCGAAUGAGUUGCAGGGUAUAGACCCGAAACCCGGUGAUCUAGCCAUGGGCAGGUUGAAGGUUGGGUAACACUAACUGGAGGACCGAACCGACUAAUGUUGAAAAAUUAGCGGAUGACUUGUGGCUGGGGGUGAAAGGCCAAUCAAACCGGGAGAUAGCUGGUUCUCCCCGAAAGCUAUUUAGGUAGCGCCUCGUGAACUCAUCUUCGGGGGUAGAGCACUGUUUCGACUAGGGGGUCAUCCCGACUUACCAACUCGAUGCAAACUACGAAUACCGAAGAAUGUUAUCACGGGAGACACACGGCGGGUGCUAACGUUCGUCGUGAAGAGGGAAACAACCCAGACCGCCAGCUAAGGUCCCAAAGUCAUAGUUAAGUGGGAAACGAAGUGGGAAGGCUCAGACAGCCAGGAUGUUGGCUUAGAAGCAGCCAUCAUUUAAAGAAAGCGUAAUAGCUCACUGGUCGAGUCGGCCUGCGCGGAAGAUGUAACGGGGCUAAACUAUGCACCGAAGCUGCGGCAGCGAUAUGUAAAUAUUGUUGGGUAGGGGAGCGUUCUGUAAGCCUGUGAAGGUGUACUGUGAGGUAUGCUGGAGGUAUCAGAAGUGCGAAUGCUGACAUAAGUAACGAUAAUGCGGGUGAAAAACCCGCACGCCGGAAGACCAAGGGUUCCUGUCCAACGUUAAUCGGGGCAGGGUGAGUCGACCCCUAAGGCGAGGCAGAAAUGCGUAGUCGAUGGGAAACGGGUUAAUAUUCCCGUACUGGUGAUAAUUGCGAUGGGGGGACGGAGAAGGCUAGGCUAUCCGGGCGACGGUUGUCCCGGUUUAAGGAUGUAGGCAGGUGAAUUAGGCAAAUCCGGUUCACUACAUGCUGAGGUCCGAUGACGAGUCACUACGGUGAUGAAGUAGCUCAUGCCCCGCUUCCAGGAAAAGCCUCUAAGCUCUAGAUUAUCAUUAAUCGUACCCCAAACCGACACAGGUGGUCAGGUAGAGAAUACUCAGGCGCUUGAGAGAACUCGGGUGAAGGAACUAGGCAAAAUGGUGCCGUAACUUCGGGAGAAGGCACGCUGGCGCUAGGUGAAGUCCCUCGCGGAUGGAGCUGAAGCCAGUCGCAGAUACCAGCUGGCUGCAACUGUUUAUUAAAAACACAGCACUGUGCAAACACGAAAGUGGACGUAUACGGUGUGACGCCUGCCCGGUGCUGGAAGGUUAAUUGAUGGGGUUAUCCGUAAGGAGAAGCUCUUGAUCGAAGCCCCAGUAAACGGCGGCCGUAACUAUAACGGUCCUAAGGUAGCGAAAUUCCUUGUCGGGUAAGUUCCGACCUGCACGAAUGGCGUAAUGAUGGCCAGGCUGUCUCCACCCGAGACUCAGUGAAAUUGAACUCGCUGUGAAGAUGCAGUGUACCCGCGGCAAGACGGAAAGACCCCGUGAACCUUUACUAUAGCUUGACACUGAACAUUGAGCCUUGAUGUGUAGGAUAGGUGGGAGGCUUUGAAGCGUGGACGCCAGUCUGCGUGGAGCCAACCUUGAAAUACCACCCUUUAAUGUUUGAUGUUCUAACGUAGCCCCGUUAUCCGGGGUGCGGACAGUGUCUGGUGGGUAGUUUGACUGGGGCGGUCUCCUCCCAAAGAGUAACGGAGGAGCACGAAGGUUGGCUAAGCAUGGUCGGACAUCAUGCGGUUAGUGCAAAGGCAUAAGCCAGCUUGACUGCGAGAGUGACGGCUCGAGCAGGUACGAAAGUAGGUCUUAGUGAUCCGGUGGUUCUGAAUGGAAGGGCCAUCGCUCAACGGAUAAAAGGUACUCCGGGGAUAACAGGCUGAUACCGCCCAAGAGUUCAUAUCGACGGCGGUGUUUGGCACCUCGAUGUCGGCUCAUCACAUCCUGGGGCUGAAGUAGGUCCCAAGGGUACGGCUGUUCGCCGUUUAAAGUGGUACGCGAGCUGGGUUUAGAACGUCGUGAGACAGUUCGGUCCCUAUCUGCCGUGGGCGUUGGAAGAUUGAAAGGGGCUGCUCCUAGUACGAGAGGACCGGAGUGGACGCACCACUGGUGUUCGGGUUGUCAUGCCAAUGGCAUUGCCCGGUAGCUAAGUGCGGAAGAGAUAACCGCUGAAAGCAUCUAAGCGGGAAACUUGCCUUGAGAUGAGUCUUCCCUGACUCUUUAAGAGUCCUAAAGGAACGUUUAAGACUAAGACGUUGAUAGGUUGGGUGUGUAAGCGUAGCGAUACGUUGAGCUAACCAAUACUAAUGAACCGUGAGGCUUAACCUG